rnacentral:rRNA from 1 species
AUUGAACGCUGGCGGCAGGCUUAACACAUGCAAGUCGAGCGGGGUGAUGGUGCUUGCACUAUCACUUAGCGGCGGACGGGUGAGUAAUGCUUAGGAAUCUGCCUAUUAGUGGGGGACAACAUCUCGAAAGGGAUGCUAAUACCGCAUACGUCCUACGGGAGAAAGCAGGGGAUCUGUAUGACCUUGCGCUAAUAGAUGAGCCUAAGUCGGAUUAGCUAGUUGGUGGGGUAAAGGCCUACCAAGGCGACGAUCUGUAGCGGGUCUGAGAGGAUGAUCCGCCACACUGGGACUGAGACACGGCCCAGACUCCUACGGAGGCAGCAGUGGGGAAUAUUGGACAAUGGGGGGAACCCUGAUCCAGCCAUGCCGCGUGUGUGAAGAAGGCCUUAUGGUUGUAAAGCACUUUAAGCGAGGAGGAGGCUCUUUUGGUUAAUACCCAGAAUGAGUGGACGUUACUCGCAGAAUAAGCACCGGCUAACUCUGUGCCAGCCGCCGCCGUAA